rnacentral:rRNA from 1 species
GACGUAGGGUGCGAGCGUUGUCCGGAGUUAUUGGGCGUAAAGAGCGUGUAGGCGGUCUGGUAGGUCCGUUGUGAAAACUCGAGGCUCAACCUCGAGACGCCGAUGGAAACCAUCAGACUAGAGUCCGGAAGAGGAGAGUGGAAUUCCUGGUGUAGCGGUGAAAUGCGCAGAUAUCAGGAAGAACACCCGUGGCUAAGGCGGCUCUCUAGUACGGUACUGACGCUGAGACGCGAAAGCGUGGGGAGCGAACAGG